rnacentral:other from 1 species
AUACCCCUGCCGUGUUCGUGUUUGGGAGACGUUCUUUGUCCCAACAGCAUUUUAAAGGGAGCUUUCUCUAGUUUUGGUGUGCAUGUUCUGCUUGUACAGAAAAGCCUAAAGAAGCUAUAAGGCACCCACCUUUUUAUUUUGGUUCAAAGACACUCUCACACGGCACAGAGGUGGGGGUUCC